rnacentral:misc_RNA from 1 species
UGAAAAUAUAAUAAAACUUUAUAGCUUUUAAGCUCAUGCAUAAAGUAUUUAUUCAAGCAACCAAACAUCAUCUCGCAUGGGUCAGGCUAAGCUCAUACAAGCAACCAAACGUAGAGAUAUUACAUGCUCUCAACCAGGUUAAGAGUCAGGUUCUUUAGAUACUAGCCAGGCCCACCUAUCCAGACAACCAAACAUGCCAGUAGUGCAUGUGUUAAACCAGGGCUGCGUGAUCAUUGUGUGUGGAUUGAUUGGAAGCUGGUGGGACUGGGCUGUUCGUUACUAUAUAUUCGGUUUGGCAGAUCCGUUCACGCAAGCAUGUCUCUCCGUGUGCCUGCAAAACGAUGGGCCUGCGCAUGUCGUCUGCACCGGCAGAUGUUUCGAUGUGGAGAGAGAGAGAGUGAGAGAGAGAGCUGUGCUGCACGCCUGCACUGCACUGCACUGCAGCCAAAGUUCAUUCGUUGUUGCUGAUGCUGCCGCGCGCGGGCGUCCGAUCCUUUCCUCCCUCUCGUCUCUAUGUCUGAGCGAGUGCUGCUGGAUAGAGGAGGAUAGGGGAG